CCCGGGGUGCGUGGGCCCGGGGUGGUGCGCGCCGCUUCCAGAGCCGAGUGAGGCGCGGAGGACCGUGUGGACUCCCGGCUUCCCUCCCUUCCGCUCCCCUCCCGGACCGGGCGCCCAUACCUGCAAAACUGCCCCCUUCCUGCGGGGGAUGGGGUGAGAAGCCCGCCCUUUCAUGGCAUCUACUCAUGGGUGGUUAGAGAAUUUACUGGCUCCUCGCUCGUCCAUUCAGCAUUGCCGUGAAUUUCAAGGAGAAGCAGCAGCAUCUCCGUUCCAUCAUCUCCAUUAUCCAGAGAAGGAAUUCAUCCUAUUCAUGAGUUGGCCUCAACCUACGCGUUUCAGAGCCUUCCACUCCAAGGAAUGGCUGGUUGUUUCCUUUCCCUUUAAGGGCUGUGACCUGCCAGUUUGUUUGGUUCUCAGACUCCCACCUUGCAGUAAAAUGGGGAGGGGGGGACGGGCUUGCCUAAGCCACAGCAAAACAAUAGGUUCUCUAAUGCUCCAUCUCCACUCCUGGGUCUUUGGUGGAUUUGGGUCUCUUCCCACCCUCCACUCCCUACAACAUGCACACUUGGUUUUUAGCCUCUCCGAUGUGCUUUUUUAAAAAAAGCUUAAUCAUUUGUGUGUGGGGCCCUCCUUCCACCUCUCUUGUCUUUCCUCUCUGACCUUGUAGCUAAGUGAAAUAGGUGGGCAUUAAAGCAGUUUUAGAAACACCUUUUCAUUUCCCUUUAGAUGGUCUUCCUCCUACAAGUGUGCAUGGAUGUAUGUACCUCAAAGACUGAGCAUCAGAUAUAAAAAGGGUGAGAAGAUUUUGUGGAAUCACAGCCCAGAACCCUAGGUCAGUUGUCUUUCCUUCCAAAAAAAAAGUGAGGGAAUAAUUUCUUAAAAUUGUUCUUUUCAGCAGCUAAGUCUUGUUUUGUAUUUGUUAUUGAAAAGAAGUACACUUGGACACAGUAGAAGUAGAACUUUAAAGAAUACUGGGAUAUAGACUGGCUGGUGUUUAUUAGGAUGUUAAAUUGACCAAAGCUUGAUUGGGGUCCUGUGUGAAAUAUAGUUGGUGGUGGUGGUUUAAGGACAAAAAAAAA